GCUGAGCCUGGGGGAACAGAACAGGUGCCCUAGUGAGACCCAUUGUGGACACAGGUGGGAAGGUGUGGACCCCCCUGAGGACACGUGUGUGGAUCCGAGCGCCACGAGACACUGCUGCGGGGGCUCUGGUUCCCCGUGGACACCGGUGUGGGGUUCUGGGCUCCUCUGGACACGUGGGGAGCUUCAGCAGCCUGCACGACAGCGCUUUUAGACUUUCCCUAGUCUUCUGACUGAAGAUAGGCCCUUUCCUGUCUCCUGUGGUAAUAAUGUGUCGUAAACCGUGGCUAAUCUCUGUGCCUAAGAAAGCUGUCUGGACCCUCAUACUGGCUACUGUUUCAGCAGAAUCUUAUGACAUUGUUUUGUUUUCACUGUAGCUUGUAUUAAAGGUUACCUUCUAAGUAU